AGACUUAUUUUUCUUACCUGUUUGUCUGGAUAGAGGGGAGACUCAUUUUUUAAUGAGUCAGAAUAGAGAAGACCCCAGGAAAAAAAAUCCUAUUGAAAAGUUUUAGGACACUAUAAAAAUGUCUUAAAAUUACUUGAUCAUGAUCAUAAGAUAUAUUGUUCUAUUUAUUAGGGUUAUGAAAAUAAAAGUGAUACAAAUUAGAGGAUUUAUCAGUAAUAUGGAGAUGAGAGAACCAUCCAGACUGAAAAAAUGCAAUACCCAGUUAGGUGACCUGUCUGAAGAAAGCCUGUGAUCUCAGUCCAAUCCCCAGAAGAAAGAAAUCCAAGAAACCUGGCUUGAUGUUUGAAUAAGGAUCUGAUUCUGCCCAAUGGAAAUGUACCUGCACAUUACAGAAAUUCUAACCUUGAAGUUGUAGAACUAAGAACUAAUCUGAACAUAUACUUUCAGUAAGAGUAUUGCUGGCUUGUGCCACAUGAGAGACCUGAACAAUUUAAAAAAAAAAAAAAAAAAAAAAAAAAAAGGAUGUUGCUUGUAACUGCAGCUGUAAAAUAUUUUUCUGUCAAACAUCAAUACAAAUAUUGCAUUAUUCAAACCUCACAGGUAUUUUUUCCAGUUAAAAGUCUCUUAAAGUUGUCCUUUC